ensembl:lncRNA
AGCUGACGGUACUAAUCACCUAUUUUCUUCCCCAUACAAGAGAGAGGAGGGAACUGGCACGGGGAGACUGGCUGGAAAAAAGAGUGAUUGAUUCUCCAAAGGGGAGGAUUUACCUGACGAUUUGGAGAGGAAGAGGACAAACUACCUCUUGGGAAUGGCAACCAUGGAUCCGCACCACCACCUGAAAGGAGCUCUCAUCGAACUGAUAGUUAAGGCGCUGACACACCCGUGAUUUAUGUUUAUAGUUAAAAGUUACUCACCUUGUGUUACUUAUUCCUGCAAAGAAGAUGAUUUGUGUUAUCCUUGUGAGAUCAUCCUUGAUUGUGUGGGAGUGUUUGUUUUAAGAGAAAAUACCUCAAAAGAGAACUUUGUUCAAUGUAAGAACCUGCUCUCGACUCAUUUAUUCCACCUUUCCGUUUUGGAGCAACCUAAAAAGACUUUGUCUACUCACAUAAGAUGGACUUCGAGUGUCCCUGUGUAAGAAUUUCCACGAUACUUAUAAGCAGGAAUUAGGAGGAUAGAGUUAUGGUCAGAUUUUCCAAAGCGAGGAUGAGGGACAGCCUUAGUGCUGUUAACUGGUCUGGUGCCACCCUACUAGCUAUGAACUGUUCGUGCUGUCUGGUGCCAACCUGCUAGCUGGGAACUGUUAGUGCUGUUUGAGGUGGGGCCGUUGGAGUGUUAGAUACAGUGGGUCAUACAUCCUCUUUGGGUUCUGAUGCCAUUCCUCUCCAUGUUUAGAAGAUGUAUUUCAUUGUGAAAACAGUCAGUCAUAUUUCAUAGUUUACAGAUUGUUUUUGAGUGGAUUUUUCCUUUUAUAUAGAGCAACCACUAUAUACAAUCUUAUGUUAUUUUUUUUCAGGAGUGCAAAGUGUCACUUGCCACAUCAUUAUAAUGUGUUUUGCUUCAUAUGAUGCGUUUUGCUUCACAUGAUGCGUUUUGCUUCAACUUGAUUGGAGUCCACCUGAGGUAAAUUCAAUUGAUUGGACAUCAUUUGGAAAGGCACACACAUGUCUAUAUAAGGUCUAUCAGUUUACAGUGCAUGUCAGAGCAAAAACCAAGCCAUGAGGUCGAAGCAAUUGUCCGUAGACAGAAUUGUGUCGAGGCACAGAGAAGAGUACCAAAACAUUUCUGCAGCAUUGAAGGUCCCCAUUCUUAAAUGGAAGAAGUUUGGAAACACCAAGACUCUUCCUAGAGCUGGUCGCCCGGCCAAACUGAGCAAUUGGGGGAAAAGGGCCAUAGUCAGGGAGGUGGCCAAGAACCCAUUGAUCACUCUGACAGAGCUCCAGAGUUCCUCUGUGGAGAUCAGAAAUACUUCCAGAAGAACAACCAUCUCUGUAGCUCUCCACCAAUCAGGCCUUUAUGGUAGAGUGGCCUGACAAAAGCCACUCUUCAGUAAAAGGCACAUUACAGCCCGCUGGAGUUUACCAAAAGGCACCUAAAGACUCUCAGACCAUGAGAAACAAUAUUCUCUGGUUAGUAUAUAAUGGCGCCUGCUAGCAACACUGAAGCAUGCAUAAGAGCACCAGCUGUUCUGGACAACUGUGUGAUCACGCUCUCUGUAGCCGAUGUGAGCAAGACCUUUAAACAGGCCAACAUUCACAAAUCUGCGCGGUCAGAUGGAUUACAAGGACGUGUACUCGAGGCAUGCGCAGACCAACUGGCAAGUGUCUUCAUUGACAUUUUGAACCUCUCCUUUACCGAGUCCGUAAUACUUACGUGUUUCAAACAGAUCACCAUAGUCUUUGUGCCCAAGAAAGUGAAGGUAACCUGCCUAAAUGAUUACCUCCCCAUAUCACUCAUGUCGGUAGCCAUGAAGUGAUUUGAAAGGCUGGUCAUGGCUCACAUCAACACCAUCAUGCCGGAAACCCUAGACCGACUCCAAUUCGCAUACGCCCCAGAUGAAGCAAUCUCAAUCACACUCCACACUGCCCUUUCUCACCUGGACAAAAGGAACACCUAUGGGAUAAAUCUGUUCAUAGACUACAGCUCAGCAUUCAACACCAUAGUGCCCACAAAGCUCAUCAGUAAGCUAAUGACCCUGGGACUAAACACCUCCCUCUGCAACUGGAUCCAGGACUUCCCGACGGGCCACACCAAGGUGGUAAGGGGUAACAUCAUGGCCUUUCUCAUCAGUAUGGGACAGAUGCUACUGCUCACAACCAUUCUCUUCCACCAUACAGCAUCCCUUCCUCUGUGGGAGAGUAACCAGGGGGAUCUGGAGGGGAUCAUCAGGAGUGAGAUCAGUCAUUUAAACACCCAGUCCCUGUUCGCCAGGAACUAUGUGGAUGCCCUAGUCGAGGCAAGACUGAGUCAAUCUAGAAGAUCAGGCCCACAGACGAGACAGUUGGGGGACAUUGAGUUCUCCAACCGAUACGCUGAGUACCUGAGGUCCAAAGCAAAGCACAGCUCAAUCUGCGCCUUCCUCCAACGCAUGCAGAGUGUUAAGAAAAGUGGGUUAGGAGCAGAUGCAGAGGUCAACCUGCUGUUAAAGCAGUACAUGUGUCCCAAUGUCUACCACUGGGCAGACUGAGUUAUAACUGAGUUGUAACUGGAGGACAACAGGGAUGGAAAUGCGGGAAGCGACUGGCGUCUCUCCAACUGGACUACCAUGGAAGACUGACUACCUAAUGUUACAGUAGUAAACAAUGGAUUGUUUAGACAUUUUAAGAUACUAUUCUAUUAGAUGUGAUGUUUAAUCAAUCAUGGAACUAUAUGCUAUUUAGAGGUCUCAGGAUGUAAUAAAUAUAUUUUGUGAGUAUGAAUUAGGCUAAUCUGUAGUUAUUUAUAAGUUGUCAUAGUGUUUUAGAUAUCUAGUUUCCCACCUGUAUCACCAGUGUCUGUACCACUUUACAAUAGCACAGUAACUUUCAUGAUUAAGCAUUAACAAACUAUUUAUCAAUAUAUAUUUAUUUAAAAACAUUUAUAAACAUUACAAGUAAUGAGCAUUUAUAAAAUCUUAAGUAAUGGCUAGUUUAUUAACGUUAUUAUAAAGUGUUACCCAAGUAUCUGCAGUGGUGUAAAGUACUUAAGUAAAAAUACUUUCAAGUACUACUUAAGUUGUUUUUUGGGGUAUCUGUACUUUACAUUACUAUUCAUUUACUUUUUACUCCAUAUAUUUUCCCUGACACCCAAAAGUACAGAACAGAAAAGGGUACAAUUCACACACUUAUCAAGAGAACAUCCCUGGUCAUCCCUGCUGCCUCUGAUCUGGCGGACUCGCUAAACACAAAUGCUUUGUUGGCUAUCCGUAAACAAAACUAACAAGAAAAUUGUGCUGUCUGGUUUGCUUAAUGUAAGGAAUUUUAAGUUAUUCAUACUUUUAUUUUUUACUUUUGAUACUUUAGUAUAUUUUAGUGAUUACAUUUUCUUUUGAUACUUAAGUGUAUUUAAAACCAAAUACUUUUAGACUUUUACUCAAGUUGUAUUUCACUGGGUGACUUUCACUUUUACUUGAGUCAUUUUCUAUUAAGGUAUCUUUACUUUUACUCAAAUUUGAGAAUUGAGUACUUUUUCCACCACUGAGUAUCUGUAGACUGGGUGUGUAAAAUUAUACCUGAUACUAUAUAAGGACUGUCAUGGACUGAUACCUGAU